rnacentral:rRNA from 1 species
UUAAGUUAAUAAGGGCGCACGGUGGAUGCCUUGGCACUAGAAGCCGAAGAAGGACGUGACUAACGACGAAAUGCUUUGGGGAGCUGUAAGUAAGCGCUGAUCCAGAGAUGUCCGAAUGGGGGAACCCACUAGUUAAUGACUAGUAUCCAUAUCUGUUAAGGAUAUGAGAAGGAAGACGCAGUGAACUGAAACAUCUAAGUAGCUGCAGGAAGAGAAAGCAAAAGCGACUACCUUAGUAGCGGCGAGCGAAACGGCAGGAGGGCAAACCGAAGUGUUUACACUUCGGGGUUGUAGGACUGCGAUAUAGGAUUAAUCAUUAUAGAAGAAUUACCUGGGAAGGUAAGCCAAAGAGAGUAACAGCCUCGUAUUUAAAAUGAUAGAUUAACCUUAGCAGUAUCCUGAGUACGGCGAGACACGCGAAAUCUCGUCGGAAUCUGGGAGGACCAUCUCCCAACCCUAAAUACUCUCUAGUGACCGAUAGUGAACCAGUACCGUGAGGGAAAGGUGAAAAGCACCCCGGGAGGGGAGUGAAAUAGAACCUGAAACCGUGUGCCUACAACAAGUUCGAGCCCGUUAAUGGGUGAGAGCGUGCCUUUUGUAGAAUGAACCGGCGAGUUACGAUAUGAUGCGAGGUUAAGUUGAAGAGACGGAGCCGUAGGGAAACCGAGUCUUAAUAGGGCGCCAUAGUAUCAUGUUGUAGACCCGAAACCAUGUGACCUACCCAUGAGCAGGUUGAAGGUGAGGUAAAACUCACUGGAGGACCGAACCAGGGCACGUUGAAAAGUGCUUGGAUGACUUGUGGGUAGCGGAGAAAUUCCAAACGAACUUGGAGAUAGCUGGUUCUCUCCGAAAUAGCUUUAGGGCUAGCGUCGAUGUUAAGUCUCUUGGAGGUAGAGCACUGUUUGGGUGAGGGGUCCAUCCCGGAUUACCAAUCUCAGAUAAACUCCGAAUGCCAACGAGAUAUAAUCGGCAGUCAGACUGCGAGUGCUAAGAUCCGUAGUCGAAAGGGAAACAGCCCAGACCACCAGCUAAGGUCCCAAAAUAUAUGUUAAGUGGAAAAGGAUGUGGGGUUGCACAGACAACUAGGAUGUUAGCUUAGAAGCAGCUAUUCAUUCAAAGAGUGCGUAAUAGCUCACUAGUCGAGUGACCCUGCGCCGAAAAUGUACCGGGGCUAAAACAUAUUACCGAAGCUGUGGAUGACACAAAAGUGUCAUGGUAGGAGAGCGUUCUAUGUGUGAAGAAGGUGUACCGUGAGGAGCGCUGGAACGCAUAGAAGUGAGAAUGCCGGUAUGAGUAGCGCAAGACAGGUGAGAAUCCUGUCCACCGUAAGACUAAGGUUUCCAGGGGAAGGCUCGUCCGCCCUGGGUUAGUCGGGACCUAAGGAGAGACCGAAAGGUGUAUCCGAUGGACAACAGGUUGAUAUUCCUGUACUAGAGUAUAUAGUGAUGGAGGGACGCAGUAGGCUAACUAAACCAGACGAUUGGAAGUGUCUGGUCAAACAGUGAGGUGUGAUAUGAGUCAAAUGCUUAUAUCUUUAACAUUGAGCUGUGACGAGGAGCGAAGUUUAGUAGCGAAGUUAGUGAUGUCACACUGCCAAGAAAAGCUUCUAGCGAUACAUAUACUCUACCCGUACCGCAAACCGACACAGGUAGUCGAGGCGAGUAGCCUCAGGUGAGCGAGAGAACUCUCGUUAAGGAACUCGGCAAAAUGGCCCCGUAACUUCGGGAGAAGGGGCGCUGAUUUUAGAUCAGCCGCAGUGAAUAGGCCCAAGCAACUGUUUAUCAAAAACACAGCUCUCUGCUAAAUCGUAAGAUGAUGUAUAGGGGGUGACGCCUGCCCGGUGCUGGAAGGUUAAGAGGAGUGCUUAGCGUAAGCGAAGGUAUGAAUUGAAGCCCCAGUAAACGGCGGCCGUAACUAUAACGGUCCUAAGGUAGCGAAAUUCCUUGUCGGGUAAGUUCCGACCCGCACGAAAGGCGUAAUGAUUUGGGCACUGUCUCAACGAGAGACUCGGUGAAAUUUUAGUACCUGUGAAGAUGCAGGUUACCCGCGACAGGACGGAAAGACCCCAUGGAGCUUUACUGCAGUUUGAUAUUGAGUAUCUGUACCACAUGUACAGGAUAGGUAGGAGCCUAUGAUAACGGGACGCCAGUUUCGUUUGAGGCGUU